AUGUGGGAGGGGAUGUCCCAAGCAAGGCAUUCAUUUGCCAAUUAGUGAUUGCCAAAUCCUUGACACCUGACAUGCACAUAUUUAAAUAGACUGGGUGUAUACCUGACACCUGCCUGUGAUCCUAUCUUCAUACUAUGCUGGACACACCACACAUAGGAUACGCUUUUUCUUGCUCUCUCUGGAGAUCGCUUCCAUACUCAUAUUCUAAACAUUUAAUAAGGCAUCACUCUGGCAAUUGCUUUGCUGGGCUCCCCCUCCACCUGUCCGGCCC